CCUACGGGAGGCAGCAGUAGGGAAUCUUCCGCAAUGGACGAAAGUCUGACGGAGCAACGCCGCGUGAACGAUGAAGGCCUUCGGGUCGUAAAGUUCUGUUGUCAGGGAAGAACAAGUACCGGAGUAACUGCCGGUACCUUGACGGUACCUGACCAGAAAGCCACGGCUAACUACGUGCCAGCAGCCGCGGUAAUACGUAGGUGGCAAGCGUUGUCCGGAAUUAUUGGGCGUAAAGCGCGCGCAGGCGGUUCCUUAAGUCUGAUGUGAAAGCCCCCGGCUCAACCGGGGAGGGUCAUUGGAAACUGGGGAACUUGAGUGCAGAAGAGGAGAGCGGAAUUCCACGUGUAGCGGUGAAAUGCGUAGAGAUGUGGAGGAACACCAGUGGCGAAGGCGGCUCUCUGGUCUGUAACUGAUGCUGAGGCGCGAAAGCGUGGGGAGCGAACAGGAUUAGAUACCCUGGUAGUCCACGCCGUAAACGAUGAGUGCUAAGUGUUAGAGGGUUUCCGCCCUUUAGUGCUGCAGCAAACGCAUUAAGCACUCCGCCUGGGGAGUACGGCCGCAAGGCUGAAACUUAAAGGAAUUGACGG
rnacentral:rRNA from 1 species